rnacentral:rRNA from 1 species
UACAGAGGGUGCAAGCGUUAAUCGGAAUUACUGGGCGUAAAGCGUGCGUAGACGGUCAUGUAAGUCGGGUGUGAAAGCCCCGGGCUCAACCUGGGAAUUGCAUUCGAGACUGCAUGGCUAGGGUGCGGAAGAGGGAAGCGGAAUUUCCGGUGUAGCGGUGAAAUGCGUAGAUAUCGGAAGGAACACCAGUGGCGAAAGCGGCUUCCUGGUCCAGCAC